CAGCAACCGACGGAUCCGUGCGAGUCCGCGCUCCCGUCCAGAGCCCAACGACCGCCGCCGCGUUUACGACGACAGUAAUUUUACAGUGUGUACCGUGGUUUCGACCAUAAUUCCGUCGUGCGGAUAUGCAAUCGCAGUAACGUUUUUAAACGGUUAUUGUAAAAUACGUGUUAUACACCAGGUACGCAUACGCACGUAUAUUCACUACCGCCCAGUGAUUUUUGUUUUUCAUUGAGCCCUCAUUUCAUUAUUUUUUUUUUUUUAGUUUAUUUUCCUCGGUAUUUUCUCGUCGGCGUCAUCGUUUUUUGGGUCCAACGCCGCUGACACUUUUCGGCCGUCCGGUCGCUGCACGCCGUGGUUCCGAUCAUCACGCGAGAAGAUCCAUCGUGGUA